UGUCACCGUCUUCCUCCUCUGGCCUCUUCCUCUUAAAUCUCACCUGUCAAAGGUACUUGAAGUUCACAAAAUCCUCUCCUCUCCUUGCACAAAUAUGUGGACGCUUGUGUGGCUACAUAUAAAUAUCAGAUACUGUUAAUUAAUUUGAUGACUUAUCUAUAUGCACCUUAUAUUUUUGCUCCUGAGAAUCAAGUACCCACAUAUACAAGAUGUCCAAAAUUAUCAUUGUUCUUUUCCAUAUCCUUCUCUAUUCAGAAUUGAAGCCUUCAAAAGCCGAAACUUGGAUCAAUUUAAAGCAGGUUACUGGUUCUCUGGCAUUGGGUCUCCCAUUUCAGACAUAAACUCAACCCUCUUUACUCACCUUAUUUGCGCUUUUGCUGAUGUAAACUCUUCCUCCUACGAGCUCUCUGUAUUGCCCAGUGAUGAGCAGAACUUCUCUACCUUCACAAACACUGUUAGACAAAAGAACCCAUUGGUCACCACUCUUCUUUCCAUUGCAGCGGAAAACGCAAGCUAAUGCCACCCUUUCAUCAAUGGUUAGUACGGCUUCUUACAGAAAAUCUUUCAUUGACUCUUCAAUAAAGAUAGCCAGGCAUUAUGGCUUUCAAGGUCUAGAUUUUAAUUGGGUUUCGGCGAAGAGCUCCGACAUGACCAAUAUGGGAUUGCUAUUUCAAGAUUGGCGUGCCGCUGUGAAUUCUGAGGCGUAAAACUCAAGCCAGAAAGAAUUGAUUUUGACUGCUGCUGUUCCAUACUCACCAAAUUUGGAUUCAGUUUCUUUCCCUGUGGAAUCAAUUCGGAGUAACUUGGAUUGAGUCCAUGUUAAUGCCCAUGGAUACCAUCAGCCCCGGCUGUCAAAGUUUACCGGUGCUCAUGCAGCCCUAUAUGACCCAUCGAGUCGGUUUAACACGGAUUACGGUAUUGGUGCAUGGAUUGGUGGAGGCUUGUAUGCUAGCAAGUUGGUUUUGACAUUGCCUUUCUAUGGCUACGCGUGGACGCUAAAGAACCCCAGUGACAACGGAACAGGUGCACCAGCAACGGGUCCAGCCAUUUCAGCUGAUGGAGUCAUGAGUUAUAAGGAAAUCAAGAAUUAUGUUCAGAGAUACGGAGCUGCUAUAAUGUAUAAUGCUACAUAUGUAGUAAAUUCCUGCACAGUCGGAUCGACUUGGAUUGGCUUUGAUGAUGUUGAGGCUGUCAGAAUGAAGGUUUCUUAUGCCAGAGAGGAAGCUACUUGGUUACGUUGUGUGGCAAGUCCCAUUUGAUGAUAACUGGGCACUUUCUUUAGCAGCUCAAGGGGAAGAAAAUAAUGGACGACCCAAGUGUCAAUUAUUAGUGAUCAUUUUGACAAUUGCUACAUUGCUCUCUUACUAUACCUUUUAGUGUGUUACUUACGGAUGAGAAAGCUAAGAUCCAAAGGUA